GUCCAUUCUUUGCUACUGAUAAGAGAGAGAGGGAGAGGAGACAGAGAGAGGGAGGUAGGGAGAAGAAAGAGAAGACUCCUUUCAAGGCUAAGCCCUCCAAUCAGCUUUUACUCACAACUCUGGGACUUUACUCUUUCACUCCUUUGUCUCUCUGCCAUUAUUUUUUAAAUCCAGUCUCUCAUUUAUUUUCUGCUUUCAAGCCUUUCCUAAACUGUUUAUUUCUUCCCCAAAUUACUUAGUUGUCUCUUUCCUUCUUUCGUUUUAAUUAUGAGACCACCCUGUUUUGCUUUCUUGUUUCAUGUUCGUUCAUGGAAUAUUUUACCCACUCCCAGGAUUUCUUUUUGUAUAAAUUCCAAAUCCAUGUCUGUAGUCCUGGCUAUUAUCCUGAGCCCCAGACCUCAUGGCUCCUGCUUCUUGCUGGAUAUCUUAUUCAACCUGUACUCAAUAUGCUUCAGACAGUUGACUGCCCUCUCCCCCUGCCUGACUGCUCACUAUCUGGCCAAUGAUGUCAUUCUCCAUCCAGCCUGCUGGGUGAGGAAACCUGUCAUCUUUUGUACUCUCCCUCUUUCACA
rnacentral:lncRNA from 1 species